rnacentral:piRNA from 1 species
GGGCCUGUUUGGGUGACUGCUGAAAG